UGGGGAAUAUUGGACAAUGGGGGCAACCCUGAUCCAGCCAUGCCGCGUGAGUGAUGAAGGUCCUAGGGUUGUAAAGCUCUUUCGCCGGUGAAGAUAAUGACGGUAACCGGUAAAGAAGCCCCGGCUAACUUCGUGCCAGCAGCCGCGGUAAUACGUAGGGGGCGAGCGUUGUCCGGAAUUAUUGGGCGUAAAGAGCGUGUAGGCGGCCCGGUAAGUCUGCCGUGAAAACCUGGGGCUCAACCCCGGGCGUGCGGUGGAUACUGCUGGGCUAGAGGAUGGUAGAGGCGAGUGGAAUUCCCGGUGUAGCGGUGAAAUGCGCAGAGAUCGGGAGGAACACCAGUAGCGAAGGCGGCUCGCUGGGCCAUUCCUGACGCUGAGACGCGAAAGCUAGGGGAGCGAACAGGAUUAGAUACC
rnacentral:rRNA from 1 species